rnacentral:lncRNA from 1 species
CCAAUCAUCUUCCACAUCAUUAAUUAGAACAAAAUAUAAAAUGACAAUAGGUAUUUACCUCUACAGACAAUACCUGGACAGAUGCUUUCCCCAUUCUUUCCACAAAUAUUGAAUAAAAGUCACAAACCAAAGGUAGGUGGCAGUUCACAAUUUUAUGGUCCGAGACUAUGUAGAUCAGAUCAAGAAAUAUUGGGUAGCUGUUUUUAUCAAUUUUAAGGCAGACGGAUUUGGUGACAAUUUGGUUUGAUGAAGCCGAAAUGCAUAUAUUAGUCUACGCAUAACUCAUAAGUCAACGUGAUAACAUGCUAAUAAACUAUAAUAAAGACCGAUUUAAAUUAAGACCAUUUUAUUAAAAGUAACAGUAUAUAUUUAAUUAUUUAUGUAACAACUCAUUCAUAUAAAGAAUGUUAUACAGAAAGUUAGAGUUGAUUAUAAAGAAUACUGACCAGUAAUUCCUUUAAUUAAUUUGUCUCAGUAGUCUUUCAUUCUUAAACUCCAAGUUCACAAUUGUUUUAGUUUCGUCUCUGUAAUUUCACGCUUUUCUUGUUUUCUCCCUUCUCCGUUUGUCAUCUCAGCUUUUUUUAGCAUCACUAACAGCAAGGACGGCAAAUUUGAACUAACAGGAUAAAAAAAUGCUAUGAGAGACAACAUUACAGUGACGUAAAUAAAAAAAAUGCUAAGAGAGACCAAACAUAUAUUUAUGCCAUAAAUUAAUAUCCAACAUCCAAAGUUGAUACAGAGUAGGCAUCAUAGGACUACCAAAAAUUGUUUGAAUUAGCAGACUCUAAUAAAAAAUUCUCCAACAACACACCACCAAAGUUAUUAUUGCAAAACAAAUUCAAUUUUUAUGGGGCUUCCAACUCUCCAACAAUAACACCCAUAGUGUAGCAAAAUAUACUGAAUAUGAAUUCAAUUUUCAAAAGAAUAACCAUUUUCAAAAUUUACAUUCUUGCUCAGCAUAACUUUUUACGUAUAGAGCAUUAUCAUUAUGCUAUUUCAAUAACACUCUUCUGACUGAUAGAAUGUCUUCACACUCGUAUAUCUCGCAAAAGAUAAAAAGAAAAUCUAUCUUACAGAAUAAAAUGAAACACAUAAUUGUCGUUACAAUAAAAAAAAAAUAUAUAUAUAUAUGAUACCUUGAUGUUAGAUUAAUGCACCAAUACUAUUUUACAACAUAAUAAAAACCGUGUUCUGAAACCAAAAACCAACAAAACAACGUAUGGUGUAGCUAGUAAACUAUUUUAUAAGCUAUUCCAAAUAUUUAUAUAAGCAUUAAUGUCAUACAAUAGACCCAAAUAAACCCUUCCAAACACACCCUAGAUUGAAAAGGAGGGGCCAGCUUCCAAUGAAUUAGAGAACUAUAAUAUAGGUUAACACUUUGCCAAAAAAUAAAGAACAUGGGACAUGCCAUUAUUAAUGAUGUACCUACCCGUACAUUUCCUGUGCAGUGACCUCUUUGGCUGUAAAUUGUUUUGGUCCUAUCAUUAGUUUUGGCUGACUCAAAAUUAAACCCUACAGAGUAACAUAAAAGAGGGAAAAUCAAAACAGAAAUCAGCGCACUUCAAUGGUCAUCCCUAUGAAAAGGAAUAAUAGAUAGGUUCUAAGGUUCAUAUCAUCGUUUAAAGUUGAGACAGAAAAGCCAUCAAUAGAGUACCAAACAUGAAUGAGCAUAAUUGCAUGAAUGAGCAUAAUUGGAUGCCAUACAGAGUUUAUGCUUCCUCAUGUCAUACUCCAACAAAACCACCCAACAAUGAGUUGAGACAGAAAAGGCAUCAAUAGAGUACCAAACAUGAGCAUAAUUGGAUGUAAAUAGAAUUCCAAUAAAAUAUCUCCAUCGCCACAAAGACUUUAUUCCAAAACAAAUUUAAGUUUCAAUAUAAUAGUCACUUACAGAGUUUAUGUUUCCUCGUGUCAUACUCCAACAAAACCACCCAAGAUGUAACACUAUAACAAAACCACCCAAGAUGUAACACUAUAACAAAACCACCCACAAUGUAACAAUAUACUGAAUAAUUAAUUCUCCACAUCAUUUAAAAAGAAAUAUAACUCAAGUUAUAAUGGAAGCACUUAGAUUGCCCUGAAAUUGAAUAAUAAACCAAUUUUAUUUUACAGCACAAAAAAACUGUUCAAAAAACUUCACUAUUCAUAUAACAAAACAUUCGAUAUUGUAAUUUCGAACUAUCACAGAAGCUUCCAACUCAUUCAUUUUUUACUCCAAUAAACUCCACCUGGGUUCAUUAAAUAGGUCUCACAACUUUAAUUUAUACAUUAAUAUUUUAUUUAUAUUUAAUUUUAUUAUAACUUAAAAUAUUAAUUUAAAUAAUUCAAUUAAUAUUAUUAUACAUUAUUUUAAUUUAAAUUUAAAAUAAAAUUAAACUUAAAUUUUUAUAACAAUAAUAAAAAUAAAAGCUAACGGUCAUAAAAUUAUUAUUAUUAUUAUUAAUAAAUUAAAAAUAACAGUCUUACCUUAAUAAAAAAAGGUAACGCUAAUAGAUUUAUUAUUAAAUUAUAAAAGUACCAUUACUCACGUACAUAUGAUUACAGUUUGACACAACUUCGACGGUAAACUCGCCACAAACUCAAUAUUUUACUUAACUCGAUGACGGCGGACAAAAUUGGAGAAGCUCCCACUAAAAUAAUCACUUUAAACCAAAUCAUUUAACGAAUUAAGUAGCACUAACAUAAUUGUGAUUCUAGGGACGAGUGACAACCUCUGUGCGUGAUUCUGAUUCUCAACUCUUUGCAUCUAUUCCUUUCCUUUCUAGUUUUUUUGAGAAAAUCUUAGUGUUAUCUUCUAAAUACUCUUUAUAAGGGUGAUUCUCAGGUACAAGUUUUCUAUACUCCUCAAACUGUUUCUCAGCUUCAUCAUUCUUUCUAACCAAAGUAUACACAACACAUUGACACAAAUAGGGUCUAAAAUCUCUGGUUCUUCCUUCACAAUCUCCUCAUAAACCUUUAAAGCACCCUGAUAAUCUUCUUCCAUUACCUUCGGCUGUGCAAUCAAAAGCACAAAUUCCCUCACUUAUGAGUAACAUGAAAUAUACAUUUGACCCCUGAAAAAAUAAUUCUUUUAGUAGCCAAUUUUAGGCUUAGAUUCCCUAGUAACCAAUUUUACAAGUAACAUGAAAUAUAUACACCUGUAAAAAUAAUUCUUUUACAACAUAAUGUGACCCCAAUUCUUUUAAAUGUUAUUUAGAAUUGCUGAAUCAUUUUGCCUUCUUACUCUUAAUUAAACCAAAAACCCAUACAUUCAUAGCAACAGAAAAAUAAAAAUCAUAGAACUUGGAAAUAGAAAUAAAGGUAGAAAAAAACGCAGAGAAACUCAGAAACCGGAAUAGAAACCCGAAUCGCAAAAAUCAAAAAUCUUAGAGACCUAGAAACGUUGUCUCCACCAAACAAUCGACGCCUCCACAACAAGUAUUUCGAUAACCUCUCUUCCCCUUAUUCAUAUUUGAAGAAAAAAAAAGGUUCCUCUACAAACAAUACCUGGACAGAUGCUUUCCCAAUUCUUUCAACAAAUAUUGAAUAAAAGUCACAAACCAAAGGUAGGUGGCAGUUCACAAUUUUAUGGUCCGAGACUAUGUAGAUUAGAUCAAGAAAUAUUGGGUAGCUGCUUUUAUCAAUUUUAAGGCAGACAGAUUUGGUGACAAUUUGGUUUGAUGAAGCCGAAAUGCAUAUAUUAGUCUACGCAUAACUCAUAAGUCAACGUGAUAAAAUGUUAAUAAAGUAUAAUAAAGACCGAUUUAAAUUAAGA